rnacentral:rRNA from 1 species
CACGGGGGGAGCAAGCGUUGUUCGGAUUCAUUGGGCGUAAAGGGCUCGUAGGUGGCUUUGUAAGUCGGAGGUGAAAUCCCACGGCUCAACCGUGGACACGCCUUCGAAACUGUGAAGCUUGAGGCUGGGAGAGGAGAUCGGAAUUCCUGGUGUAGCGGUGAAAUGCGUAGAUAUCAGGAGGAACACCAGUGGCGAAGGCGGCUCACUGGCCCGGUACUGACGCUGAGGUGCGAAAGCGUGGGGAGCAAACAGG